GACGUAGGGCGCGAGCGUUGUCCGGAUUUAUUGGGCGUAAAGAGCUCGUAGGCGGCUCGUUGCGUCGGCUGUGAAAACCCGCAGCUCAACUGUGGGCUUGCAGCCGAUACGGGCGGGCUGGGAUUCGGUAGGGGAGACUGGAAUUCCUGGUGUAGCGGUGAAAUGCGCAGAUAUCAGGACGAACACCGGUGGCGAAGGCGGGUCUCUGGGCCGAUAUCGACGCUGAGGAGCGAAAGCGUGGGGAGCGAACAGG
rnacentral:rRNA from 1 species